rnacentral:piRNA from 1 species
UGCCAAGAAUGAGCACUGUACUGUGGC